GUGUGUGUGUGUGAGAGAGAGAGAGAGAGAGAGAGAGAGAGAGAGAGAGAGAGAGAGAGACCAAAUGCCUUGCUGUCAUAAUGUCCUGUUUGGGUUGUUUUUUCCCCCAUAUUUCUCCCUCUUUUUCUUUCCCUUUCUUUCUUCAUCUUCCUCUCACACACUUCUUCU
rnacentral:miRNA from 1 species